rnacentral:rRNA from 1 species
CAGUAGCCGCGGGAAUACAGAGGGUGCGAGCGUUAAUCGGAUUUACUGGGCGUAAAGCGUGCGUAGGCGGCUAAUUGAGUCGGAUGUGAAAUCCCCGAGCUUAACUUGGGAAUUGCAUUCGAUACUGGUUAGCUAGAGUGUGGGAGAGGAUGGUAGAAUUCCAGGUGUAGCGGUGAAAUGCGUAGAGAUCUGGAGGAAUACCGAUGGCGAAGGCAGCCAUCUGGCCUAACACUGACGCUGAGGUACGAAAGCAUGGGGAGCAAACAGGAUUAGAUACCCCAGUAGUCCCUGUCUCUUAUAU